UCCAAGAUAGUGGACUCAUUCAGCUUGUCAGUGGACCUUUAAUCUGCUGACAUCUGGACACUUACAGAUCUAAGGGUCAUUAAUUAUUUAACCAAAAAAACCUCUUAAACCAUGGUUAAACGCAGAUAAAAGAAGAAUCCUAAAAUCCCGCUUCAAAAUUUUCGGAGCUGGUUGCAAGAUAUCCGAAAAAAUUGCUGUAGGAAUUUCCUUCUUGUUGGAAAAAAGAUUUUCUUACCAUGGAAAUUAUAUGCUCAAGAGAGGGACGAUGUAAGACUCAAAGAAACAAGAGAAAAUUAAAUCAUUUGCAUGGCACAACAACAAAAGAUCCGAAAGAAAAAGAAAAUCAGUUUAUGAACAAUUCUUUUUCUUGAGAAGAAGUGACGACACAAAUACAGAUUUUUGGAGAUUGGAUCUAGUCAGUCUCAAAGUGGAUGUAAUGUGCUCAUAAAACUCGAGAUGGAAUUUGAUUCGGAUGAGCAUGCAUAUGAAUAUUACAAUAAAUACGCUGGUGUAAUUGGUUUUAGCGUAAGGAGAGAAUAUGCUAACAAAAAUAAAGUCCGAGGGUACGUGACUUCAAGAAAAUUGGUAUGUUAUAAAGAAGGUUAUAGAGAUAAACACAAACGAGAUACGAUGGUUCAAAAACAUAGAAAUGAAACUAGGACGGGGUGCUUAGCUCAUUUUACUAUUAGUCGUCAAUCAAAUGGAAUGUUUCGCAUCACUUCAUUUGAAGAGAAACAUAAUCAUCCUCUUGUUCCUUCUUCUUUGGCUCACAUGUUACCCUCACAAAGAAAGAUAAAAGUUGCUCAAGCAUAUGAAAUUGACUUAUUAGAUGAUUCAGGAAUAUGUCCUAAAGCUUCAUUUGAUUAUGCUGCUCGUCAAGUUGGAGGACAAUCUUUUCUAGGUUACACAAGGAGAGAUCAGAAGAAUUAUCUUCGGGAUAAAAGAAAAGAUAGUUUGAAACGUGGGGUGGCUCGUAGUUUGGUUGAUUAUUUUGAGAAACGAAUACUAGAAGAUCCUGCUUUUCGGUAUUCUUUAGAUCUAGAUGACGAUGGUUUGAUAACUAAUGUAUUAUGGGCUGAUGGAAAGAUGAUAAGAGAUUUUAAGAUUUAUAGAGAUAUUGUGUCCUUUGAUACAACAUAUAGAACAAAUAAAGAGUAUCGACCCUUGGCGUUGUUUGUUGGUUUAAAUAACCAUAGGGAAAUGGUUAUAUUUGGUGCAGCCCUUCUAUACGAAGAGUCAACUGAAUCAUUUGUAUGGCUUUUUAAUGCAUUCUUUAAGAUUAUGUUUGCGGAUAAACCACAAACAUUUUUCACUGAUCAAGAUCCCGCUAUAUCUGCUGCUAUAUCAUUAGUAAUGCCCAAAACAUAUCAUCGCCUUUGUGUAUGGCACUUGGAAAAGAAUGCAUUUAAACAUCUUAAUCAUAUCUUUAGAGCUAAUGAAUCAUUUCCAAGAUAUUUUAGCAAAUUGCUUUAUGAUUAUGAGUAUGAGGAGGAUUUUUUAAGUGCAUGGCAGGAAAUGCUUGAGAAAUAUGACCUUGAGGAUAAUAGUUGGUUGAAAAACACGUUUGCUGUAAGAGAGAAAUGGUCCAUGACAUACGGAAGACAUACAUUCUCAGCAGGUAUGCGAAGUACACAAUUAAGUGAGAGUUUUAAUGGAUCUUUAAGGGGAUAUUUAAAAUCUGAUUUGGAUAUUGUUCAAUUUUUUAAGCAUUUUCAAAGAUCAGUUGAUGAUAAGCGUGCCAAUGAGAAUAAGUCAAAUUUUGACAUGACUCAAAGAAUACCUAUUUUAAAGGUUAAACUUCCUUUAUUGAUUCAUGCUAGGGAAGUAUACACCCCAACUAUAUUUGAUAUGUUCCAAAAUGAAUGGGAAAGAUCACUACUGGUUUCCAUAAAGGACUCUUAUAGUGAAGGAGAAUUAUGUACCUAUAAUGUUAGCACUCUUGGAAGUGUUAAGGAGCAUGCUGUAACUGUUAAGCAAUUAGUAACUCAAGUUUCUUGCAGCUGCAAAUUGUUUGAAUUUUUGGGUAUACUAUGUAGACAUGCUUUAAAGAUUCUGGAUUUACUAAAUGUGAAGGAUAUGAUUCCGGUACAUUAUAUAUUAAAGCGGUGGACAAAAGAUGCUUCUAACAUGAACGAGGUAGAUAUCGAUCUAGUAGAAAAAGAUAGUGAUCCAAAAGUUGAAGUUACUGCAAGGUACAAACAUUUAUGCCAUACUUUUGUUCAAAUUUCAAGUGAAGCUUCAGAAUCCACAUAAGGGUAUGAAUUGGCCGCAAAAGGUGCGAAUGAGAUAAUUGCCAAGUUAAAGGAUAUCAAGAAGAGAAAUGAAUCGCCUGAAAAGUUGGCUCCAAGCAAGAGUAUUCAGAACGAACCGAGUGAACUAAUAUUUAUUGACAAUACAAAUGUCACAAAGGUGACCGGGUUAAAAAGAAAGGAACCAACUCGUCGCUCUAAUACUCGGCCAAAGAGUUUUACGGAAAAGUCCAAGAAGAAAGGUAGGACUUCGUUGCCAAAAUCUCUUCAAUGCCAAACUAAGCAGCAGUUAGAUCACCUUCCCUGUCUUCAAGUCCCAUGUACACCUUUAUCAGAUACAUCAAAUGAUAUGGGUGUGACAGAAGGAAGUUUUCCUCCAUGGUGCCCUCCACAGUUGUCUCAAGGGUCAUCUAAUGGAAGUUUGACUCGACUCUUAAGAGAUGUUUCAUUUCAUGAUUUAAACAAGUAUUCUCAACAUUGAUUGUGGCAAAUUCGUGAACGCAGAGGUUACAUGGUGAUCCUGUCCGGCAUAGUAGCUUGUUUCCGUUCAUAGGUUUUUUACUAGUGUGCAAUUGACAUUCGCCAAUGUGAAUUGAGCCUUUUUUUUUUUUUUCAUGUCAAGGUUGUAACCCACCUGUGGAUGUUGGAAUUUGUUUGUCCCUUAUAGAAGUAUGUUUUGAGUUUCCUCUUCUCAAUUCCAAUUUCCGUUAACAUUAUAUCGAAGAUCUGAACAAUCUUCAACUUUGGAACUACAAUAAAGUAAUGUUUUUGAUGCUUAUUUGGUUGUGCAACUGCAUUGAAUCAUUUGUUGCAUGAUAUUUACCCUGUUUUUUGGUAGCAAGAGAAAAGGCCAUUGCCAAUGUAAUCAAGACAAAUAUAUUUGGAAAGAGAAAGGUGCUUCGUGUGCUUGGAUUUCAUCAGCAAGACUAGUUUGGGAUUUUUAUUUCAUGGGAAUUCUGACUGCAAAUACAGUUGAAAUGAAACAAGGUGAUAGAAUUCUAGAUUUUUGUUUUCAUGCUUCAGUAACACCUUUCAAGAUGUUUAACCAAGGAAGAUUAUGUUAAGACAUAAGUAGAUGGUACAGGACAACUAAAGUUGUUUUUGAAAUUCGAUGGUAGAAA